UGGCAGUUUGAUCCUGGCGGAGGCUACUGCUAUUGGGAUUCGAUUAUUCCCUGCGAGUUGAAUGAAUUUAGAUUCAUGGCGUACGGCUCAGUAACACGUGGAUAACUUACCCUUAGGACUGGGAUAACUCUGGGAAACUGGGGAUAAUACCGGAUAUUAGGCUAUGGCUGGAAUGCUUUGCCUUUGAAAUGUUUCUUGUAUUCGCCUAAGGAUAGAUCUGCGGCUGAUUAGGUCGUUGGUGGGGUAAUGGCCCACCAAGCCUAUGAUCGGUACGGGUUGUGAGAGCAAGAGCCCGGAGAUGGAACCUGAGACAAGGUUCCAGACCCUACGGGGUGCAGCAGGCGCGAAACCUCCGCAAUGUACGAAAGUGCGACGGGGGGAUCCCAAGUGUUAUUCUUAAUAGGAUAACUUUUCAUUAGUGUAAAAAGCUUUUAGAAUAAGAGCUGGGCUAGACCGGUGCCAGCCGCCGCGGUAACACCGGCAGCUCAAGUGGUAGCUGUUUUUAUUGGGCCCUAAGCGUUCGUAGCCGGUUUGAUAAGUCUUUGGUGAAAGCUUAUGCUUAACUGUUAGAAUGCUGGAGAUACUAUAGACUGAAGUCGGGAGAGGUAGAGUACUACCCGGGUGGGGUGAAUCCUAAAUCUGGGAGGACCCUGGGGGAAGGGUCUACUGGAACAUUUGACGUAAUACCAAGCCGUGCCCAACGGAUAAUACGGGUGUCCUGCCUAACAAGGACUGGGUGGAUGCUUAUUUUCCGGCUAAGAACUUUACCCCCCUGAAACGUCCAAACUACCAAGAUGCGGGACCCCACCGGCGCGUUAUGUUACCGAUUCCAGCAACUGUAAGCGACCUUUUCGAAGAGGGCCCCCUC
rnacentral:rRNA from 1 species